GAAUGUUACUCUCGAGGGCCUAUCCCUGCUGGCUUUUGUUGCCAAACUUGUUCCUCUUACCCCUGCCUAUAGUAUGCGUGAAAAUUUCAGUGAAAAAAUUCUACUUCUCUACUGUUGUUCCUGAUAUACUUUGGUUUAGGAAAAGCUGGGAUCUGGCACUGUGCAGAAGCAAACCCAGGCUGUGCUGCAGAACGAAUUACGUCAAGGUACACCAAGUGGGAGUUGAGUUAAAAAGACAUUGCACAUAGAAUUGGAACUACCUUAUUCUAUGCACUGCUCUGGAGAAAACAAAUUGUCAUCAGUGAUGUACCCAUGCAGGUGAUAACUUGAUUGCUCUGGUGAGAACCUCAGAGGGCAAAAGAUAUAGGAGUGACAGGAAAAGACUUAGUGCAAUUUUUCCAAAAAAGGGGAAACUCCAAGGGACUCCAGAACAAUGGUUACGGACAUGCAGAAGCCCAAGCAUGGGAAGUUGGGUCCAUGAGAAGGCCCACACCUGUACACCCCCACUGAGCUCCCCUGGGCUUUGCAGGACUUUUCAUCCCAGCUGGACUCUACAGAAGCAAAUCUGGAGGAUUAGUCUGCAAAAGCACGAGCUCUAGUAAUUGACUUUCAGAGUCAGUACCAAAUGGAGGCUCUACAAAUGUGAAGAAAUUAAUGAAAAUUCUGGCAACACCAAAAAAAAUAACCCACUCUGGCUUCUCAAUCUGUGCUGGCUGUGACUGACAAGCUUUGAGUAAAGAAGAGACUGUGUAAAUGUUGAGGAAGAAAAAAAGAGGUAUGCCUCAUUUAAAAUAGCAGGUCUUCCUUAAUGUGAACGGUGGAUAUGAAUUAAUGAGUUAAGUGCUUAGUUUAGCUUAGCACAAUAAAACCACUACACCAUUCAUUUAACUUGUGAGAAGCCUCACUGUCUGCCAAGGUGAAAGGUUCCUGCAGUGCUGCGAUAACAUUUUGAAGGCCACAAUUUUUAAAAUGCAAAUGGGCAAAUGUGUUUGCGUGGGCCUAGGUAAAUCCUUUGUGUCAAAGCAGAUUAUUGUAUAUGUGAUUUUUUUCUGCGGAUAAUUUGUUUCCCCUACAGAAAAGUAAUGUCUGUUGUGACAGAUUCAUGCAUAUGCUCAGUCUUGUUUCAGGGUAAAGAUCUGUAGUGACACUGACUUGCAAAAUACAUUGACAACACAGGUUAUCAAGAUACUAUGACAUGUCACGCUGACACCAUGCAGGUAUGUACCUCCCGAAAUGGCUGAUCUGAGUUUUUGCUAGUGGAGUGUUUCUGUGCACAUCCUCCAUCUGAGCAAAGGCUGCUAGCAGCGGCUAAGCACGAUGAGUGCCCUGAGUUGAAGUAGCCUUGAAUGGUAAUGUUAAGAGAGUACAGUUUAGUCCUUUUCUCAGAAGAGCUUCUGAAGGGGUGCAAAUGCACCUAACCCUCAACAACUCUUGGUGGAAAUGCUGCUCUCUGGGCUGGGGAGCAGAGGUGGAGUGCUAGGGGGGUGUGGGAUUUUGAGCCCCAAAUCCCACAGAUUACACUAAAUGGGACCAUUGUAAAAUCUUUUUGGUUUUAGUGUAGGUCAUUUCCCAAGUGGCUCUAAGUUUUAAUGUUUCAAAGCUGCAUUUACCUUUUACUACUGGGUUUAGAGUGCCUCUGUUAUGUUUGUGUGGCUGACAGGUAGGUGCCUGUGCUGAAAACCCACUUAAGGAUCUGAACUCCUACUUAUCGCAGGCAAAUUUAAUUGUUAAAAUGCUGAGAUUGUAUCACAAAGUAACUUGUUCAAUAGUGGUAAAUAUCUAUUGUGCAGUAACUUUCUAUUUGCUUCUGGUAUUCAAAACCUGAAACAUGUGGUGUGCAUAGAAGAAAAGGAUGUGAAAUGCAAUGAAGAAGAAAAUUCAAUGCUUUGGUAGAGACCGACCUUCUGUGAUCUUAUUAACCUUUCACUAAUUUCUUUAAUCCUAGUAGAAAAUAAUCUCUCUCCCCCUCCCACCAUGUUACAAAUUAAAAAACCAUUUUUUAUUUAAAGAAAAAAAAUGUUUGGUUUAGGUAGGGCACAGGAUUUGGCUUGUCAUAUGGCUAAUGAGUCUUUUCCAUAAGCAAGUCUUUUAAAAUGGGAGAAGGUAAGGAAAGAGAUGGAAAGCUGAAAGAAUCUGGACUCAGGCAACUACCUGAGCUGAAAUGAGUUGGAGGUGAGAAAGCAGUAUCAUGCAUGUCUACCCUCAUGUAACCACUUAUGUCUGCUCUUGCAGACAAGAGAGUGGACUGGAUAGGCUAUUGGCAUUGCUCCAUGAUCCUUUUUUUGGCCUCUUAUCAAGAGUUUUCCAGUGCCCAAAGCAGACUGAACCCCACAUGACCUGACACUUAACAGCAGAGGGAACUCUAACCAGCAUUACUGGUCUUUGAUUAGGUUAAAUUUAUUCAAUGACUAAAUCUGGGAGAUUCUGCAAUGCUAUCAGGUUUUGAUUUUUGAAGUGUUCUAUUUUAGUUCUGCACGCAAUGAAACUGUUCCCCUCACUAAAUGUCACCUCUAUUUUCCUAAAGCCAAAACUGGUGAAAGUGGGACAUUUAAAAGGCAGCACUCUGACUUUGAAAGAGGCAGGCGAUCCAGAACUCUUUUGGAGGAUGGCAUAUACUGCUUGCUUGGAAUGAGAGCAGCAGUAGUUUUUCAUGUCUGACAAUUGGAUUUAGAUUUUCAGUGCCCAAGACUGAAAUACAGCUGUUUAAUUCUGAUGGUUUUGUGGCCUUGCUGACUUUCUUUUUUGUUUCCCAAAUACUGAUAUCUAGGCAGAUUCACCACCUCAGCACAAGCAAAUCCGCUGCCUUUUUUAGUUCCAUCUAAAUAGUGUUAUGAAGAGACAGGAGAGUAAUUUCGCACUGAGUUGCAGCAGUGUGAUCCAUUGGCAGUGCUCUGCCAACAGCAGAGGAAUAGCUGACCCUGGCAUGGCACCAAUCCUCAGAGCUCGACAGACGUGGCCUGGGUUUGUAACAGAGAAAUGGCUAAAAAUCGCUUCCUGAGGUGACUUGAGGCAGAGGAAAAAUGGUCCUUUGCCAGUUUAACAACACUCAACAACAGCUGUUCUUUAUGUUUUUUAUGCAUUAACUCCUAUCAGCUUGCUCCAUUUGCAACUCAAGAGUGACUUCCUGAUUCUAUCUAAGCAGCUGGGCAACAUGGUCCAAAUGGACAGAAAUAUUCCCAAGAAUUUGCCAAAAAGGGCAAGACAGCCCACUUUGCUCAGGCCACCUCACACACUUUGACGUUAUCUACAGCCCCACAAAUAGCCUAUGUCUUAGCAUGCUCUGGCCUGUUGUUCUGAAGAGUGAGAAGUUGGUUGUAUGAACAUGAGCUUAUUUAUGUCUCUCAACUGUUCUGGUUUUGGUUUUUUUUUUUUUUUAAUUCAUUUGUAAAACAUGGAUCAUUCUGAGCUCUAGCUAAAAUUAUGACUCAUAUUUUACAUUUAUCUAAGCUUGCUCUUCAGGAAAAUAAUUAUCCUCAGGGAAUCCUAAUCAAAACCUCUCUGUACGUAGUACCAAAGUGAGGCUUUUAGUUUUCUUUGGAGUGUUUGUGUGUGCUGAGGGGCUGUUAUUUUCAUGGAUUUUGUUCAGGUAUUGCUCAUGGCAUUGUUUGUUUUUAAUAUAAAGACCAUUUUCCACCUCAAUUGUUUUGCCUGCUGUAGAGUACAUAUAAACUGCACAUAGAUGAUGCAGAAAUUGCUGUUGUGGUUUAAUUCCUAAUUUCUUUAAAUCUCACAAAUCUAGGCCUCGCCCUCAGCAUUAUUUAAGGAAGAUAAUCUGCUGUGCUCUUUGUCCUUGUUACCCAAGUUUGUGAUAAUGACAGGUAAGAAGAAUACACAUUGGUGUAGUUCUGGGUGCUGAAGCAAAAGCUAUGCAUUACUUUUGAAAGGCAUGUUACACACUCAACUGCACAGUUGCAGAAGAUUUUCUAGGAGGUAACAGUCUUAUACAACCAAAUCUAGAUUAUUUGCAGCCUCCUUCUAUUUACCCCCAUCUUGCUUUCCACUUCCUCUCAUUAUUUUCAAAUGUUAACCAGUAGGAAAAAAGGUAGAGAUAUUAGAAAAAUAUUCCAGUCAUCAAGAAACAAGUGAUCAUCUUUUAAUUCAUGCCACUUUUAUAGAUUUGUGAUAUGAACUGACACUUUCAGAGAUGUUUGUAACUUUAUCUUUUCACUGUAAGUGAUCUGCGUGAAAAUAGUACAAAUGCUGAGUCUUGUUCAAAACAUGCAGCAAGUUUCCUACCUAUUCUGCCUGCCACAUUUGGAUUCAUAUGCUUAUUUCCUGUAAGGUAUCAGAAAAGCAGAAUUGUUAUGCUUCAAAUGUUCAGUUUCAGAGAUACUAAUAACAUUCUUGAUUACUAUGACCUAAGCAGAAUUUCAAGAGUUUGGUAUGCUCUGAGUAUGAACAAUCUUAAGACUGCUGCUGUGCUUCAAUUUGCCCAGCUGAAUUUUCCUUCACUGCAUUUUAAACCACUUUAACCUUGAUUCUAGCCUCAUGUGACUUGAAAUUUGUGCCCCUCCAAACCCAAGGAGCAAAAAUGGGACAAAGGUCCAAUCUACAUGUAAGACUUCCAUGAACAGGGAUACAGGGUGCUGGGUGUAUUAUUUUCUUUCUAAAUCUUUAAUUUCUGUUGUACUCUCAUCAGCUGUUUCUAGCCAGAUGAAAAUUUCAUACAAGGGAUUUACUGAAGAUGGGUGUCCUAGAAUUACUCAACUGAGGUCUGACACAAAAAGUUUUAGAAAGAUUCUGAAGUGCGAAGUUAUAUUCUGUUUGGUGCAAAUUAGUUUAAAAUAUCCUUUUUGGAAAAAAUGAGAAAUCUGUAGAAAAUGUGUCUUUUUGGCCUUCUGCUCAGAUGAAGGAGAAACAUGGCAUGCUGGGGUAGGUAGCCUCAACUCUUUAUUCAGGAGGUGGCUGGAUUCAGGAUGUGGAAUACACGAGUCCCUGAUUUACGGGGCAAUGUCCAUAGUGAAAAUAAUAUGUGGCAAUAAUUAGCUUUUGCAUCAAAUAGAGCUGAGGCAGUGAAUAACUAUAAGUGAUUUAUUGUGAGUAUAUUCUAAGAUUACAAGUGGAAUUCCUGCUUAGUGUGGAUGACAAGACAAUAGAAGAUUAUACAAACCACAACACCAAUAAUGAAAAAAAGUAAUUUUUUUCUUGCCUCGGUAGACUUGGAAAGUUCUGUGCUGCUGCCUUCUCAGACUUUCCUUUGGCGUCACUUUGGGGAUAGAGAUUAGGUGAGUUACUGUUCAUGAGUGGGUUCAAAAAAUAAGUACUAACUGUUGGCCUGUAUGGAGGUGGAGGGGUUGUGAUUAGUCACAGGUUGCGUUUAUAGGUGUAAGAUGCUUUUUGCAAGUUCUACUUUGAUUUCUAGACUAUAAUCCAAAAUUAAAACUGUCAGAAUAGUUAUUGACACUGCUUACUCUAGCAAGUAUGACGUACUGAGAACAGGAGAUUUUAAGUGACUAUGCAUCAAUUAAGGGUUUCAGAAGCCAGCAACCAUAUAUUAAAUAUGGGAGACUAUUAUUUAACUAUAAAGGGAUUUUUCUUUUGUUCCCAGUGAACCUGUCUAAUUAAUUCUAGCUCUAAUUUUUACUCUAAGCUUGUAGAAGAGAAGUUGAGCAUGAGGAGGCAUUGUCCGUUUAGAAUAUGCUGUAUCCUAUCUUUCAAGCUGAAAAAGUUAUCUGAAGUCAUAACCUCAUCUCAGCAAAGGACAUGCUAUGUUCUAAGCUUGUUAGCUUUCCCCACACUACAUAAUAGAAGAAAAGAUAACCCAAACCAGUGAACCACAGUUUCAUGAUUCCACAUUCUCAUAUUCAAAAAGGAAAGAGAAAAGGAAAUUAUUCUAGACAUUAUUACCCCAGUAGCAAAGUGUAGGAGGAGGAGCUCAACAUUGUUACUUUUUAAUUUAUACCAAAAGCAGCAUAAGCUUUGCAAAAGAUAUUUUUUUCCUGUAAAAUAUCUGAAUGUGGUUCUGU